GCCUGGGCCACAACCAAGGAGAGCUUAAGGAGGAAAGGAGAAAGAUGCACUGAUAGGUUCCACUCUCAUUAGUGAUGGGAGAAGUGACCUUAUGGAGUAAAGAGAGUUCAUCAAGAAUCCUGAUGAGAACACAUAUGGUACAUUGAUGGAGCAAAGCUUUUACAGAAUGAGUUCAUAAGAUUGGAGAAGAGAUGCCAGGUGUGGUAGUGUAACCCUUUAACCCCACCUAGCACUUGUGAGGCAGAGCCAGGCUGACGUAUGGAGUAAGAUCUAGGACUGUCAGCCAGGGCUACAUAGUGAGACCCUGUCUCUGAUGGACCCCACAGUCCCACAAGGUGGCAGGAGAUAAUCACCUGAGAGUUCUCUGACCACGCUGCUCUGUGGGACACAUGGGUCCCAA
ensembl:processed_transcript